rnacentral:rRNA from 1 species
UACGUAGGGAGCUAGCGUUGUCCGGAAUCAUUGGGCGUAAAGCGCGCGUAGGCGGCCCGGUAAGUCCGCUGUGAAAGUCAAAGGCUCAACCUUUGAAUGUCAGCGGAUACUGCCGGGCUAGAGUCCGGAAGAGGCGAGUGGAACUCCUGGUGUAGCGGUGGAAUGCGCAGAUAUCGAGAGGAACACCUGCGGCGAAGGCGGGUUGCUGGGCCGACACUGACGCUGAUGCGCGAAAGCCAGGGGAGCGAACGGG